CACGCCGUAAACGAUGAGUGCUAGGUGCUGCGGGUAUUGACCCCUGCGGUGCCGUAGCUAACGCGUUAAGCACUCCGCCUGGGGAGUACGGCCGCAAGGCUAAAACUCAAAGGAAUUGACGGGGGCCCGCACAAGCGGUGGAGCAUGUGGUUCAAUUCGACGCAACGCGCAGAACCUUACCUGGGUUAAAUCCACUCGAACCUCGCAGAGAUGUGGGGGUGCUCUUCGGAGAGCGAGUGAGAAGGUGC
rnacentral:rRNA from 2 species